AAGAAAUUAGUAUAUUUAGUAUUUUUAAUUGCAAAUUAAAAGGUUUUUAUUUCUUU
rnacentral:tRNA from 1 species